rnacentral:misc_RNA from 1 species
CCGAGUUCGUGCCCUCGCGGGUAGAUCUCCCACCCUUGUGUAUCUUAUGUUUUUGUUGCUUUGGCAGGCCGUUAAUUCGUUAACCACCGGCCCCUCGGGACUGGUGCGCGCCUGCCGGAGGAUCUCUUCAAACUCUGUUUGUCAGUGUCGUCUGAGUACUAUAACAAUCGUUA